rnacentral:tRNA from 1 species
GGGUCUGUAGCUCAGUUGGUUAGAGCGCACCCUGAUAAGGGUGAGGUCGGCAGUUCAAGUCUGCCCAGACCCACCA